rnacentral:rRNA from 1 species
UCGAGAAUCUUCCGCAAUGGACGAAAGUCUGACGGAGCGACGCCGCGUGAUGGAUGAAGUCCCUCUGGGACGUAAACAUCUUUUAUGAGGGAGAAAGUUUAUUGAUAGUACCUCACGAAUAAGGGGUUGCUAAACUCGUGCCAGCAGCAGCGGUAAUACGAGUGCCCCGAGCGUUAUCCGGAAUCAUUGGGCGUAAAGGGUGUGUAGGUGGCAUUGUUAGUCACACGUUAAACCCUGGGGCUUAACCCCAGAUCUGCGUGUGAUACGGCAAAGCUAGAGGAUGGCAGGGAUGUAUGGAACUCAUGGAGUAGGGGUGAAAUCCGUUGAUAUCAUGGGGAACACCGAAAGCGAAGGCAGUACAUUGGGCCACUCCUGACACUGAAACACGAAAAGCGUGGGUAGCGAAUGGGAUUAGAUACCCGGGUAGUCCCUGAGCGGGCUGGCAAGGCGCAU